rnacentral:rRNA from 1 species
AGUGAACGCUGGCGGUAGGCCUAACACAUGCAAGUCGAACGGCAGCACAUUAAGAGCUUGCUCUUACGGGUGGCGGGUGGCGGACGGGUGAGGAAUACAUCGGAAUCUACUUUUUCGUGGGGGAUAACGUAGGGAAACUUACGCUAAUACCGCAUACGACCUACGGGUGAAAGCAGCGGAUCUUCGGACCUUGCGCGAUUGAAUGAGCCGAUGUCGGAUUAGCUAGUUGGCGGGGUAAAGGCCCACCAAGGCGACGCUCCGUAGCUGGUCUGAGAGGAUGAUCAGCCACACUGGAACUGAGACACGGUCCAGACUCCUACGGGAGGCAGCAGUGGGGAAUAUUGGACAAUGGGCGCAAGCCUGAUCCAGCCAUACCGCGUGGGUGAAGAAGGCCUUCGGGUUGUAAAGCCCUUUUGUUGGGAAAGAAAAGCAGCAGGUUAAUACCCCGCUGUUCUGACGGUACCCAAAGAAUAAGCACCGGCUAACUUCGUG